rnacentral:rRNA from 1 species
AGAGUUUGAUCCUGGCUCAGAAUGAACGCUGGCGGCGUGCCUAAUACAUGCAAGUCGAACGAGAACGGAGCCAGCUUGCUAGUUUGUCAGCUAAGUGGCGCACGGGUGAGUAAUGUAUAGCUAAUGUGCCCCUUGGAGGGGGAUAACAGUUGGAAACGACUGCUAAUACCCCAUACUCCUUCUUUGCAUAAGUAAAGUCGGGAAACGGUUUUUUCCGCCAAGGGAUCGGGCUAUAUCGCAUCAGCUUGUUGGUAGGGUAACGGCCUACCAAGGCUAUGACGCGUAACUGGUCUGAGAGGAUGAUCAGUCACACUGGAACUGAGACUCGGUCCAGACUCCUACGGGAGGCAGCAGUAGGGAAUAUUGCACAAUGGAGGAAACUCUGAUGCAGCAACGCCGCGUGGAGGAUGACACUUUUCGGAGCGUAAACUCCUUUUAUACAAGAAGAUAAUGACGGUAUUGUAUGAAUAAGCGCCGGCUAACUCCGUGCCAGCAGCCGCGGUAAUACGGGGGGCGCAAGCGUUAUUCGGAAUCACUGGGCGUAAAGGGUGCGUAGGCGUCUUGAUAAGUAUCCCGUGAAAUCCUAUGGCUUAACCAUAGAACUGCGGGAUAAACUGCCAAGAUAGAGUCCGGAAGAGGUCAGUGGAAUUUCUAGUGUAGGGGUAAAAUCCGUAGAUAUUAGAAGGAAUACCAAUGGCGAAGGCAACUUACUGGAACGGUACUGACGCUGAGGCACGAAAGCGUGGGGAGCAAACAGGAUUAGAUACCCUGGUAGUCCACGCCCUAAACGAUGA